AUGAAAUAAAAUAAGCGUUUGGACAUGCAAUUUUACGCUGAUUUCAUUUCAUGA
rnacentral:pre_miRNA from 1 species